UGCCCAGUAAUGGGCAAAAGAGACACCUUGUUAGUGGUGGUGUUCUUAUAUCAGUCUGGGGGCAGAGCAGAUGGCAGUUCUUUGUACAUCUGAGCUUGAUGACUGGCUUUGGUGGCCAAAGCUGUCUGAUGCCUAGGACUCAUAA